ACAAGCGGUGGAGCAUGUGGUUUAAUUCGACGCAACGCGAAGAACCUUACCAGGGCUUGACAUCCCCUGACCGCGUAUGAAAGUACGUUUUCACCCUCGGGUGACAGGGAGACAGGUGGUGCAUGGUUGUCGUCAGCUCGUGUCGUGAGAUGUUGGGUUAAGUCCCGCAACGAGCGCAACCCCUACGUUUAGUUGCUAACGCGUGAAGGCGAGCACUCUAGACGAACUGCCGUUGACAAAACGGAGGAAGGUGGGGAUGACGUCAAGUCCUCAUGGCCUUUAUGACCAGGGCUACACACGUACUACAAUGGCAGGUACAAAGGGCAGCCACUCAGCGAUGAGGCGCUAAUCCCAUAAAGCCGGUCUCAGCCCGGAUCGCAGUCUGCAACUCGACUGCGUGAAGUUGGAAUCGCUAGUAAUCGUAGAUCAGCAUGCUACGGUGAAUACGUUCCCGAGCCUU
rnacentral:rRNA from 1 species